GACCUCAGUUCAGACAAG
rnacentral:rRNA from 1 species